rnacentral:sRNA from 2 species
GCUGAGUCACCGCCUAAUCAGCAGUCGAGUGGGCAGCUCGAUCGCUGAACCGGGGACCCAGGUUACUGGGGUGAAUCCUCUUCGGUCGCAAGGUCGAUGGGGUAGGGCCGAAUCUUCCCGGUCCGAACCCGUCAGCUAACCCGGUCGGCGCGUGGGCAAGGAAGA